GAUGAACGCCGGCGGUGUGCCUAAUACAUGCAAGUCGUACGCACUGGCCCAACUAAUUGAUGGUGCUUGCACCUGAUUGACGAUGGAUCACCAGUGAGUGGCGGACGGGUGAGUAACACGUAGGUAACCUGCCCCGGAGCGGGGGAUAACAUUUGGAAACAGAUGCUAAUACCGCAUAACAACAAAAGCCGCAUGGCUUUUGUUUGAAAGAUGGCUUUGGCUAUCACUCUGGGAUGGACCUGCGGUGCAUUAGCUAGUUGGUAAGGUAACGGCUUACCAAGGCGAUGAUGCAUAGCCGAGUUGAGAGACUGAUCGGCCACAUUGGGACUGAGACACGGCCCAA
rnacentral:rRNA from 1 species